rnacentral:rRNA from 1 species
UGACGGUACCUGACGAAUAAGCAACGGCUAACUACGUGCCAGCAGCCGCGGUAAUACGUAGGUUGCAAGCGUUGUCCGGAUUUACUGGGUGUAAAGGGCGUGUAGGCGGAACUGCAAGUCAGAUGUGAAAUCCCGGGGCUCAACCCCGGAACUGCAUUUGAAACUGUAGUCCUUGAGUAUCGGAGAGGCAAGCGGAAUUCCUAGUGUAGCGGUGAAAUGCGUAGAUAUUAGGAGGAACACCAGUGGCGAAGGCGGCUUGCUGGACGACAACUGACGCUGAGGCGCGAAAGCGUGGGGAGCAAACAGGAUUAGAUACCCUG